GACGAACGCUGGCGGCGUGCUUAAUACAUGCAAGUCGAACGGAAAGGCCUCUUUCGGGGGGUACUCGAGUGGCGAACGGGUGAGUAACACGUGAGUAACCUGCCCUUGACUUUGGGAUAACUUCAGGAAACUGGGGCUAAUACCGGAUAGGAGCUCCUGCUGCAUGGUGGGGGUUGGAAAGUUUCGGCGGUUGGGGAUGGACUCGCGGCUUAUCAGCUUGUUGGUGGGGUAGUGGCUUACCAAGGCUUUGACGGGUAGCCGGCCUGAGAGGGUGACCGGCCACAUUGGGACUGAGAUACGGCCCAGACUCCUACGGGAGGCAGCAGUGGGGAAUAUUGCACAAUGGGUGGAAGCCUGAUGCAGCAACGCCGUGUGCGGGAUGACGGCCUUCGGGUUGUAAACCGCUUUCGCUCAUGACGAAGCUUUGUGUGACGGUAGUGGGUAAAGAAGCACCGGCUAACUACGUG
rnacentral:rRNA from 1 species